rnacentral:rRNA from 1 species
UACGGAGGGGCUAGCGUUGUUCGGAGUUACUGGGCGUAAAGGGUGCGUAGGCGGCUUUUUAAGUUUGGUGUGAAAUCUCCCGGCUCAACUGGGAGGGUGCGCCGAAUACUGAGAGGCUAGAGUGUGGAAGAGGAAAGUGGAAUUCCUGGUGUAGCGGUGAAAUGCGUAGAUAUCAGGAGGAACAGCCGUGGUGUAAACGGCUUCUGGACCAUAACUGACGCUGAUGCACGAAAGCGUGGGUAGCAAACAGG